GCUCAACCGGGGAGGGUCAUUGGAAACUGGGGAACUUGAGUGCAGAAGAGGAGAGUGGAAUUCCACGUGUAGCGGUGAAAUGCGUAGAGAUGUGGAGGAACACCAGUGGCGAAGGCGACUCUCUGGUCUGUAACUGACGCUGAGGCGCGAAAGCGUGGGGAGCGAACAGGAUUAGAUACCCUGGUAGUCCACGCCGUAAACGAUGAGUGCUAAGUGUUAGAGGGUUUCCGCCCUUUAGUGCUGCAGCAAACGCAUUAAGCACUCCGCCUGGGGAGUACGGUCGCAAGACUGAAACUCAAAGGAAUUGACGGGGGCCCGCACAAGCGGUGGAGCAUGUGGUUUAAUUCGAAGCAACGCGAAGAACCUUACCAGGUCUUGACAUCCUCUGACAACCCUAGAGAUAGGGCUUCCCCUUCGGGGGCAGAGCGACAGGUGGUGCAUGGUUGUCGUCAGCUCGUGUCGUGAGAUGUUGGGUUAAGUCCCGCAACGAGCGCAACCCUUGAUCUUAGUUGCCAGCAUUCAGUUGGGCACUCUAAGGUGACUGCCGGUGACAAACCGGAGGAAGGUGGGGAUGACGUCAAAUCAUCAUGCCCCUUAUGACCUGGGCUACACACGUGCUACAAUGGGCAGAACAAAAG
rnacentral:rRNA from 1 species